rnacentral:tRNA from 1 species
GGCUUCAUAGCUCAGUUGGUUAGAGUGUCGCACCGAUAUCAUGAGGUCACGGGUUCAAACCCCGUUGAAGUCC